GGGUGAUUAGCUCAGCUGGGAGAGCACCGCCCUUACAAGGAGGGGGUCGGCGGUUCGAUCCCGUCAUCACCCACCA
rnacentral:tRNA from 4 species